AGGCCCGUAGUGUAGGCGGUUAACAUACUCCCCUGUCACGGGAGAGAUCGCGGGUUCAAACCCCGUCGGGCCUG
rnacentral:tRNA from 1 species